AAGGUGCACUUAACUGUGCUUAAUUGGGAACGUGAGUGUGAAUCUCCGACUGUCCCGCAGCAGUGAACUCCAUUAUGGCUCCUAAGCAAUCAAGCCAUUGCCCGUUUGGACGAGAAGGCGCUUGGGAGUGGAGGAAAGUCUGAAGACCAGCCUUUAAUUG
rnacentral:ncRNA from 1 species